GACGAACGCUGGCGGCGUGCUUAACACAUGCAAGUCGAGCGGUAAGGCCCUUUUGGGGGUACACGAGCGGCGAACGGGUGAGUAACACGUGGGUGACCUGCCCUCAGCUCUGGGAUAAGCCUGGGAAACUGGGUCUAAUACUGGAUAUGACCUUUCCUCGCAUGGGGUUGGGUGGAAAGUUUUUCGGCUGGGGAUGGGCCCGCGGCCUAUCAGCUUGUUGGUGGGGUGAUGGCCUACCAAGGCGACGACGGGUAGCCGGCCUGAGAGGGCGACCGGCCACACUGGGACUGAGACACGGCCCAGACUCCUACGGGAGGCAGCAGUGGGGAAUAUUGCGCAAUGGGCGGAAGCCUGACGCAGCGACGCCGCGUGGGGGUGACGCC
rnacentral:rRNA from 1 species